rnacentral:rRNA from 1 species
UGCGCAGGCGGUUAUAUAAGACAGAUGUGAAAUCCCCGGGCUCAACCUGGGACCUGCAUUUGUGACUGUAUAGCUAGAGUACGGUAGAGGGGGAUGGAAUUCCGCGUGUAGCAGUGAAAUGCGUAGAUAUGCGGAGGAACACCGAUGGCGAAGGCAAUCCCCUGGACCUGUACUGACGCUCAUGCACGAAAGUGUGGGGAGCAAACAGGAUUAGAUACCCUGGUAGUCCACGCCCUAAACGAUGUCAACUGGUUGUUGGGUCUUCACUGACUCAGUAACGAAGCUAACGCGUGAAGUUGACCGCCUGGGGAGUACGGCCGCAAGGUUGAA